rnacentral:rRNA from 1 species
UACGUAGGGUGCAAGCGUUGCCCGGAUUUAUUGGGCGUAAAGGGCGCGUAGGCGGCUCGGCACGUCCGUUGUGAAAUCGCCCGGCUCAACUGGGCGGGGUCAGCGGAUACGGUCGAGCUUGAGCAAGCUAGGGGGCAAUGGAAUUCCCGGUGUAGUGGUGGAAUGCGUAGAUAUCGGGAGGAACACCAGUGGCGAAGGCGGCUUUCUGGUCUGUAACUGACGCUGAGGCGCGAAAGCGUGGGGAGCAAACAGG